GACAGAGGGUGCAAACGUUGCUCGGAAUCACUGGGCGUAAAGGGCGCGUAGGCGGGAAUGUAAGUCGGGCGUGAAAUCCCCCAGGCUCAACCUGGGAACUGCACUCGAAACUGCGUUUCUUGAGUAUCGGAGAGGAAAGCGGAAUUCCUGGUGUAGAGGUGAAAUUCGUAGAUAUCAGGAGGAACACCAGUGGCGAAGGCGGCUUUCUGGACGG
rnacentral:rRNA from 1 species